UAAAUGAUAAAAACUAUUUAAUUAAAGUUAAAAGGUAUGGAUUUCUUUUCUUAUAAAGCGAUCCAAUGAUUUUCUAUUUAUUCCAUAUGCAAAAAAGAGAAAGUAUGAAUCCAAACAUCAGAUUAUUUUAUGAUUUGAUCAUCUUUCUUUCUCUUUUACUUGUUCUAACCGACGGUGAUCUAAUCAACGGUGGUUCUGUUCCUUGCUUGACUAGCUUUGGUUGUCCAAGAAGCACAUGCUACCCUCCUUCAACCCCAAAUUGCAUUCUUCGUAUUUGUGAGUGCAUCUAAGUAUAACAAUUAAAUUAAAAACAUAAUUGUAUGUUACUUGUAAUCGAAUAAUUUACAUGUACGUCAUAAUGUUGGCACUCAUACAAUUUUUGUCAAUUUCAAUUCAUUUGGUUGAUCUAGAAAACUCUAUUAGUGGAUGAAAUUAGUACUUGUUAUUAGGCUGGCCUUAUAUAUUGCUCUAAUUUUGAUUCAUCUCUUCUAUGAUGAUGAUUUUUUUCUUCUAAUUGUAUCUCGUGUUCAUCCAAUUUUUUGUUACAUUGACGUACUA